rnacentral:rRNA from 1 species
AACGAACGCUGGCGGCAGGCUUAACACAUGCAAGUCGAAUGCCCCGCAAGGGGAGUGGCAGACGGGUGAGUAACGCGUGGGAACAUACCCUUUUCUACGGAAUAGCUCUGGGAAACUGGAAUUAAUACCGUAUACGCCCUACGGGGGAAAGAUUUAUCGGGGAAGGAUUGGCCCGCGUUGGAUUAGCUAGUUGGUGGGGUAAAGGCCUACCAAGGCGACGAUCCAUAGCUGGUCUGAGAGGAUGAUCAGCCACAUUGGGACUGAGACACGGCCCAAACUCCUACGGGAGGCAGCAGUGGGGAAUAUUGGACAAUGGGCGCAAGCCUGAUCCAGCCAUGCCGCGUGAGUGAUGAAGGCCUUAGGGUUGUAAAGCUCUUUCACCGAUGAAGAUAAUGACGGUAGUCGGAGAAGAAGCCCCGGCUAACUUCGUG